rnacentral:tRNA from 1 species
CGGGGCAUAGCGCAGAUGGUAGCGCGCUUGGUUCGGGACCAUGAGGUCGCAGGUUCAAGUCCUGUUGCCCCGACCA